rnacentral:rRNA from 1 species
CAGUAGCCGCGGGAAUACGUAGGGAGCAAGCGUUGUUCGGAUUUACUGGGCGUAAAGGGCGCGUAGGCGGCGCGGUAAGUCACUUGUGAAAUCUCUGAGCUUAACUCAGAACGGCCAAGUGAUACUGCUGUGCUAGAGUGCGGAAGAGGCAACCGGAAUUCUUGGUGUAGCGGUGAAAUGCGUAGAUAUCAAGAGGAACACCUGAGGCGAAGGCGGGUUGCUGGGCCGACACUGACGCUGAUGCGCGAAAGCCAGGGGAGCAAACGGGAUUAGAUACCCGUGUAGUCCCUGUCUCUUAUAC